rnacentral:rRNA from 1 species
GCUCAGGACGAACGCUGGCGGCGUGCUUAACACAUGCAAGUCGAACGGGGUGCUUAUUUCGGUAAACACCAAGUGGCGAACGGGUGAGUAACGCGUAAGCAAUCUACCUUCAAGAUGGGGACAACACUUCGAAAGGGGUGCUAAUACCGAAUGAAUGUAAGAGUAUCGCAUGAGACACUUACUAAAGGAGGCCUCUGACAUAAGCUUCCGCUUGAAGAUGAGCUUGCGUCUGAUUAGCUAGUUGGUGAGGGUAAAGGCCCACCAAGGCGACGAUCAGUAGCCGGUCUGAGAGGAUGAACGGCCACAUUGGGACUGAGACACGGCCCAGACUCCUACGGGAGGCAGCAGUA